CAACUGNAACUAGAACAAUAGACAACGAAAGGUAAAAAAGAACACACAACAAAGACAAAUACAUAUUUCAAGUGCUAGUCUUAAGGMCAAACAACAAAAUGAACAAGAAAAAAGAAACUGCACAUUGGCAAAAUUCAAGUACCCCACUCCGACACCUUGCUGCUUCAGUCGGUCAAAAAUAAGCAGUGUAAGAAUAAGCAGACAAAAACCAAUCACAAAGACAACCAAACAAAAACAAAAAAGCAAAGCAGAACCCCGACAGAAAAGUAUACAUGCAAUAUUGGAAAAACAGAGCAGCCUUAUGCUGAACUUCACAGCUGCAAAAUGGUACAAACGGACAAUAAUAGAACAAUACAAAGCUAAC
rnacentral:sRNA from 1 species